rnacentral:tRNA from 6 species
UGGGGUGUCGCCAAGCGGCAAGGCACCAGGUUUUGAUCCUGGCAUUCGGAGGUUCGAAUCCUCCCACCCCAGCCA